rnacentral:lncRNA from 1 species
UACAUGUGACCCAGCUUCAUAGAUUACCUUCUAUAGAAGAAAAAAGGCACAGUUAAUUUCACCGACUGCUGGAUCAGAGGAAACAGUUAUUUCCCUGGAAGCCCAUCAUACAACUGUUUCUAUUUCCUACUGUCAUGGAGAAGAAUAUAAAACGAAGAAGCACGUGAUACUAAAGCUUUCUACAUUCAACAUCAUAAGGAUCUCUCUUAAAGAAUUGCUGUAGGACUAACACUGAUUAUAAUUUGUCUUAAACAUAAUGUGGUGAAACAGAGGAACAGAAGUUGUCCAUCUUUGUGCAGACUAAGGAAUUACAAUGUUUAUUUUGUGAGCUAAAACAGUUUUGC